rnacentral:rRNA from 1 species
AGUGAACGCUGGCGGUAGGCCUAACACAUGCAAGUCGAACGGCAGCACAGUAAGAGCUUGCUCUUACGGGUGGCGAGUGGCGGACGGGUGAGGAAUACAUCGGAAUCUACUUUUUCGUGGGGGAUAACGUAGGGAAACUUACGCUAAUACCGCAUACGACCUACGGGUGAAAGCAGGGGAUCUUCGGACCUUGCGCGAAUGAAUGAGCCGAUGUCGGAUUAGCUAGUUGGCGGGGUAAAGGCCCACCAAGGCGACGAUCCGUAGCUGGUCUGAGAGGAUGAUCAGCCACACUGGAACUGAGACACGGUCCAGACUCCUACGGGAGGCAGCAGUGGGGAAUAUUGGACAAUGGGCGCAAGCCUGCUCCAGCCAUACCGCGUGGGUGAAGAAGGCCUUCGGGUUGUAAAGCCCUUUUGUUGGGAAAGAAAAGCAGCAGGUUAAUACCCCGCUGUUCUGACGGUACCCAAAGAAUAAGCACCGGCUAACUUCGUG